rnacentral:rRNA from 1 species
UACGGAGGGGGCUAGCGUUGUUCGGAAUUACUGGGCGUAAAGCGCACGUAGGCGGCGCAGCAAGUCAGGGGUGAAAUCCCGGGGCUCAACCCCGGAACUGCAUCCGAUACUGCCAUGCUAGAGGAUUGGAGAGGUAGCUGGAAUUCUUGGUGUAGCAGUGAAAUGCGUAGAGAUCAAGAGGAACACUCGUGGCGAAAGCGAGCUACUGGACAAUUCCUGACGCUGAGGCUCGAAGGCUAGGGUAGCGAAAGGG